rnacentral:rRNA from 1 species
AUUGAACGCUGGCGGCAGGCCUAACACAUGCAAGUCGAGCGGAUGAAGGGAGCUUGCUCCUGGAUUCAGCGGCGGACGGGUGAGUAAUGCCUAGGAAUCUGCCUGGUAGUGGGGGAUAACGUCCGGAAACGGGCGCUAAUACCGCAUACGUCCUGAGGGAGAAAGUGGGGGAUCUUCGGACCUCACGCUAUCAGAUGAGCCUAGGUCGGAUUAGCUAGUUGGUGGGGUAAAGGCCUGCCAAGGCGACGAUCCGUAACUGGUCUGAGAGGAUGAUCAGUCACACUGGAACUGAGACACGGUCCAGACUCCUACGGGAGGCCGCAGUGGGGAAUAUUGGACGAUGGGCGAAAGCCUGAUCCAGCCAUGCCGCGUGUGUGAAGAAGGUCUUCGGAUUGGAAAGCACUUUAAGUUGGGAGGAAGGGCAGUAAGUUAAUACCUUGCUGUUUUGACGUUACCAACAGAAUAAGCACCGGCUAACUUCGUG